CAAUAGCGUAUAUUAAAGUUGUUGCGGUUAAAAAGCUCGUAGUUGGAUUUCUGCUGAGAACGACCGGUCCGCCCUUUGGGUGUGUAUCUGGCUCUUUCUUGGCAUCUUCUUGGUGAACGUUGCUGCACUUGACUGUGUGGAGCGCUACCCAGGACUUUUACUUUGAGGAAAUUAGAGUGUUUCAAGCAGGCAUACGCCUUGAAUACAUUAGCAUGGAAUAAUAAGAUAGGACCUCGGUUCUAUUUUGUUGGUUUCUAGAGCUGAGGUAAUGAUUAAUAGGGAUAGUUGGGGGCAUUCGUAUUUAACUGUCAGAGGUGAAAUUCUUGGAUUUGUUAAAGACGGACUACUGCGUAAGCAUUUGCCAAGGAUGUUUUCAUUGA
rnacentral:rRNA from 1 species